rnacentral:tRNA from 4 species
GCGGGUAUAGUAUAUUGGCUAUUAUGUCAGGUUUCCAACCUGAAGAAACGGGUUCGACUCCCGUUACCCGCUCAA